UACGUAGGGUGCAAGCGUUGUCCGGAAUUAUUGGGCGUAAAGAACUCGUAGGCGGUCUGUCGCGUCGGCUGUGAAAACUCGGGGCUCAACUCCGAGCUUGCAGUCGAUACGGGCAGGCUAGAGUUCGGCAGGGGAGACUGGAAUUCCUGGUGUAGCGGUGAAAUGCGCAGAUAUCAGGAGGAACACCGGUGGCGAAGGCGGGUCUCUGGGCCGAUACUGACGCUGAGGAGCGAAAGCGUGGGGAGCGAACAGG
rnacentral:rRNA from 1 species